UCAGCUAUCAUAAGUUUGUCAUAGAUUUAAUUCAGUGCUUAUUGCUGUGUAUCAAACAUGCCCCAAAUGUGACUGAAAUAUAUAUAAACUGCUGUGCAAGAACCAUGUGGCACCAAAUUUUUCAUUUUUACCAAAACUCAUACUGAGUAAAAUUCUGUGUACUUUCAAGUUCUUGUCCUACUGAAUUUUAAUUUUCAGACUGUUUGUUUUUAUUGUGUUAAUAGAAUUUGAAUGCAGGCCACCUCAAAUGUUAAAGGCUACAAACAUUACAUACAAGCUAUCAUUUGUGAUUGGUGCCUCCUUUUAAAUUGUCACCAUUUGAUAAAGUGUGCAUUUCUAGGUGUAGCAAAUCAUUGGUUAUGAUAUCUACUCUGGUAUGUAAUCGAACCUAAAUUGUAGAGCAUUACAUGACUAAGAAACUUGUGUGGUUUAUUGCAAAUGGAUCAAACCACAUAUUACCUUCAUGAAGAGGUCGAUCUUUAUUAGGAUGUAGAGAAAAAAAGAAAACAGAGAGGAGCUGUUACAUGUAUUCCAGCUGUGGUAAUCAAAACAAUUUUCCUGAAUAUAUUUGACUAGAGAGUGAUGCAGUAUUGACUCUGAUGCUGAUUUGAGUUGUCUCAUUCUGUAUUUUUGUUCUUUGUCUUUUGCUACAGAGUGAACAGAUCUUUGGUUUUGCCUUUUUUGACUGCUGAUCUGAUCGUCUCAAAUCUGGUGACCUGCUGCAGAAGCUCUCUCCCUCUAUCAUUAACAAGCCAUUCAGUCUGUCCUAUCACUCUACCCACUCUAUUUUGACAAGCCGUUCUAUCUUGCUUCACUCUAUCCCACAAGCUCUAUCUAAGUUAUCAAAAAUCACGUUUUUUACUGGAAUCCAAUUUUGACUGGAAUCAAGUUUUGACUGGAAUAAUCAAGUUUUGACAUGGCCCCAUUUUUGGGAAAUUGAAGUUACCAGUACUUCAUCUAUCUGUUACAGAAUUCUGACAGGUCUCUGCUCUCACUGCUCCUUCUUUCCUAUCGUUAAACUCUCUCACAUCCAGUCUUUUUGCUGGAAAUUACAAGUAGAAAGUUGAAAUUACAAUAGUAGAAUUACAGUACAGUAGAAACUAUUUACACAGCUGUAGAUUAGUAAUUUUAAUUUUUACUUGGAACACGUUGGAAUAAACACUGAUAGUUUGGCUUAGAGGUGCAAUUACUUUGAUACAUUAUAUAAAAUUUACACCUUCUUUAAGGUUUUUUGUAAUAAGAUAAACUUGUUAUUUUAUACGACAUUCAGACUGCUGUAUUCGCAAAAAUAUUAAAUUAGAUAACUUCAAAUACAUUUUGCUAGUCUGUUUCAUUGACUGUAACAUUUGACUAUAGUAGGGUUAUACUAUUAUUAUUUAGGGACAAACCCAUUUCUGUUACUCAGUCUAAGUGUUCAGACACAAUUGUCAUCGAGAAGCUGCCCUGAGGACCCAGACUUCCUGUUUCCUGACUGCUGCAGAACAUCCAGCUGAAGAAUCCUCAUCGCCUGUCAUCUGAUCACCACAGCUUUUUAUAUUUGCUUUACAUUUUAGAUAUCUGAAAGAUUUACACGAAGAUUUACACUUAAAAACUAAGAGUUUUAUUAUAGCCUGUUGAUUAUUGUGAUUUAUUCUGUAUAUCCCUUUACAGAAGCUAAGAUCUACUCAUUAACAAGUCUGGUUAAAAUAUAAGAAGUAAAAAUAUUCUGUUUUGGAAAAAGCUACAAUAAAACUGAGCCAAGUGUUUUCA